rnacentral:rRNA from 1 species
GACGAACGCUGGCGGCGUGCCUAAUACAUGCAAGUAGAACGCAGUUGCGAACGGGUGAGUAACGCGUAGGUAACUGCCUCAUAGCGGGGGAUAACUAUUGGAAACGUUAUCUAAUACCGCAUACUGUGAUAUGGACCUGCGUUGUAUUAGCUAGUUGGUGAGGUAAAGGCUCACCAAGGCGACGAUACAUAGCCGGCCUGGUAGGGUGAUCGGCCAAAACGGGACUGAGACACGGCCCAGACUCCUACGGGAGGGAGCAGUAGGGGAACUUCGGAAAUGGGCGGAAGGCUGACCCAGCAACGCCGGGUGAGUGAAGAAGGUUUUCGGGUCUUAAAGCCAUGUUGUUAGAGAAGCGGUAACUAAACAGAAAGCGACGGCUAACUACGUGCCAGCAGCCGCGGUAAUUC